rnacentral:tRNA from 1 species
AUUUAUAUAGUUUAAUAAAAACCUUACAUUUUCAUUGUAAAAUUAGAAUAAUUUUCUUAUAAAUA